AUUUUCUGUGUUUGAUGAUUUUGUAUAUUAGGCUUUCAAAAAAUUCAGGGUCAAAGGAUAACAAUUUUAGGAGAUCUUGUUCUAAAAGACAAAAUCUUUGUAUAUGAUUUGGUGAAUCAACGGAUCGGAUGGACCAACUAUGACUGUUCAAUGUCGGUCAAUGUCUCAACAAAUAUCAACACAGGAAGAACUGAAUUUGUCAACGCGGGGCAGAUGAGCAAUGAUGGUUCAUCGCGGGAUCAAAUACGGGGCAUGCUAGCUUUACUUCUACCUAUAAUCAUGCUUACCGGUCUACUGUUCUUGUAGCAUAUCCUGUAAGGAUUCCGGACUUCACACUCUUUGCUUCCAUUACGUAUUUUCUCACCGAUCUGCAGUAAUCCGAAGAACCAUGACUCUCUUACUUCGGCUAGCUUAUCGCCGGCCGCUGCUCAAUGUGCAAAACAAUUGGUAGGUUAUAUUCACGGUUGUCUUUUUUUUUUUUUUCACUGUGUAUCUUCAUCAUCAGCCAUGUAAAAUUACAGGUUUCAGGGGUUUACUGUGAUUGACUGUAGUGUAAAUUACAUUCAUACAUGUUCUUUUUUACAGUAAAUUUAAUUUAUACUAGCCUUCUUGCAUUUGUUACUUUAAGCCCUCCUUUUUUUCUUUUAA